rnacentral:rRNA from 1 species
AACGAACGCUGGCGGCAGGCUUAACACAUGCAAGUCGAGCGCCCCGCAAGGGGAGCGGCAGACGGGUGAGUAACGCGUGGGAACCUACCCUUUGGUACGGAACAACUCGGCGAAAGCUGAGCUAAUACCGUAUGUGUCCUUCGGGAGAAAGAUUUAUCGCCAAGGGAUGGGCCCGCGUCGGAGUAGCUAGUAGGUAGGGUAACGGCCUACCUAGGCGACGAUCCGUAGCUGGUCUGAGAGGAUGAUCAGCCACACUGGGACUGAGACACGGCCCAGACUCCUACGGGAGGCAGCAGUGGGGAAUAUUGGACAAUGGGGGCAACCCUGAUCUAGCCAUGCCGCGUGAGUGAUGAAGGCCUUAGGGUUGUAAAGCUCUUUCAGCUGGGAAGAUAAUGACGGUACCAGCAGAAGAAGCCCCGGCUAACUCCGUGCCAGCCGCCGCGGUAA